AACUAAGUUUGUUAUUGGUAUGAGCUUUCGUGUGCAUGCACACUGUUUCAGUGUAUCUGAAGAAGUUUGCAUGCACACGAAAGCUCAUACCAAUAACAAACUUAGCUGG